ensembl:lncRNA
AAAAGUUGACAUUUUAAAGUUUUUAGCCACUGUUCCCCUCAGCAUCCUUCUCCAGUGAACUCUCUAGAGUCGGCGCCUCGAGGCCUUCAAUUCUAAAGUGGCAUUAGACAUUCUUUAAGUUUCAUUGAUCCCCUUAAAAUAAGCCACUCUAUCUUCUAACCUCCAGAGAUUAAUCCAGUGGUGACAAAGCUGGCCACAUCGGGAGACUUUUUUACUCUGUUUCCAUUCUUUGAGCUCCAGGAAAUGCCACAUUUUCCAGAGUCACGACAUUCAGACGCUCGGGAAAGAGGAUUAAUGGGAGCGUUUAGAAAGUGACUCCUAAGAGAAACUCUCUCCCACUAUAAUAUAAUCGGUCCUCGCUCUGUAUGCGAUCAUUUCCAUGAUAGCGUUUCAUUUGCACAAACCACUCGAGUCCUUUGAUGGAGUCCUGGCAUGUGGGUUGUUUAAUUGGGCUGAAGGAGCUCGGCAGGAGUUUCCUGCCUGAAAAGGCUGGAUGCAUAGGAUUACAUGCAGGAAAUCUGUCUGGGAUUGUGCUGAUUGGACGGGGGAUGCCUUUGUAGCAAUUGCAGCCUUCAAGACGAGAAAUGUCCCCUUCUGGCUCCAGAUGGACACGUAUCCCUCACACAUGGAAAGCUCUGUAAUCUCAACUUCUUCACAGUUUGAAGCCCUGUAUAAACUUCACGUCUGUCAGCAUAUUUGACUGAGAAUCCUGUGCAAACCACUUUCUCAAAGACUGUAAAUCCUCCACACUGAGAUUUCCCAAGAACAUCCGUAAUUUUUUCAGCUAUAGGAACGGCAGAGGCAAAGCAGGUAAACAUUUUUAACACCUUCAUAAUGUUUUUUUUUUUUUUUUUACAUUUUAUAUAUCAAAAUAAGCAUGUACUCAGAGAUGCGCACACAUGCAUAUACCCAAAUCUAUCUAUCUAUCUAUCUAUCUAUCUAUCUAUCUAUCUAUCUAUCUAUAUAUAUAUAUAUCUAUCUAUCUAUCUAUGCAUGCGUUUACUAAUCUAAGCUAGCUAUUUCUCUAUGCAUGUAUUUAUGCAUGCUUUAAUUAUCUCUCUCUAUAUAUGAAUGCACUAUCUAUCUAUCUAUCUAUCUAUCUAUCUAUCUAUCUAUGCGUUUAAUAAUCUAAAAUAGCUAUUUAUCUAUGCAUGCAUU